AUUUUUUAUAAUUAGUAUUUUGUUGUUAUGAGAUGAUAAAACAUGAAUAAUACUUUACUCGUGACUUAUGUUUUUAGAUUUUUUUGAAAAAAUUAUAAAUAAGACGAAUGGUUAAAGUUAGACGCGGUAAUCCAUGGCUACACUUAGA
rnacentral:pre_miRNA from 1 species